rnacentral:rRNA from 1 species
CCUACGGGAGGCAGCAGUGAGGAAUAUUGGUCAAUGGACGAAAGUCUGAACCAGCCAAGUAGCGUGAAGGAUGACUGCCCUCUGGGUUGUAAACUUCUUUUAUAUGGGAAUAAAAUGUUCCACGUGUGGGAUGUUGUAUAUGCCAUAUGAAUAAGAAUCGGCUAACGCCGUGCCAGCAGCCGCGGUAAUACGGAGGAUCCGAGCGUUAUCCGGAUUUAUUGGGUGUAAAGGGAGCGUAGGUGGAUUGUUAAGUCAGUUGUGAAAGUUUGCGGCUCAACCGUAAAAUUGCAGUUGAAACUGGCAGUCUUGAGUACAGAAGAGGUGGGCGGAAUUCGUGGUGUAGCGGUGAAAUGCUUAGAUAUCAUGAAGAACUCCGAUCGCGAAGGCAGGUCACCGGACUGCAACUGACACUGAGGCUCGAAAGUGUGGGUAUCAAACAGGAUUAGAUACCCCUGUAGUC